AAAGAUAGAAAUGACUGUUUGAAUGGUGUGGUCUGAACAGUUUGUUUUAGCGAGGCGGGGCCCGACACUUGCCACGCCUGUCAAGACACUCGUUUAUGAAGGAAUUUCAUGGUUUAUUUUUCAAAGAAUUACUUUCUGGCCAGGUAACUUCGUGGCCCCCCUCUAUUCUCCCCACGGCCAUUUAAGGGAUCGUCCUCCUUCACUUGGGAAGUAUUAGUCCGAACCAUUCACGUGACAAGGUCGUCAAGUGCAGUCAGUCAACAAGGACGUGGCAGCAGUGUGUCAUUCAGUGGUUCACGAGAUUAUUAACCGCUUCAGUGCUAUGACGCAUUUUCUUAAUCAUUCUGCUUACUAUUGGUGACUUUAUACAGUGGGUUAUGCUCUUAUGGGUAUUUCAGACGUGGUUCUUGGUGAGGACUGGUGGUGAUGGUGUGGUGGUGUGACAGAACUCGAAUAUUCGAGGAGUUGAUGAAUCUGAUGAUUUGAGUGUGUCGGCCAAUGUCCUGCAGUCAUGUCUCGGGUACUUUUUCCUCAUGUUCUUCACCACGCAGAAUGAUCUUGGCAAGGAAGAGCGUAACGAACGGCCUUCGCUGCCACCUAAGCACGUUAGCGGGAGGGAGGCGAGAAGUGCCGUGGUAUCCUUGUGGUGACAGCACCGGAGUGAAACCACUGCCCAGCUGGAGAUCUUUUUGGCAAAAGCUAAUUGUGAAGAGUCCUGCGCUAGUCAACUGGUGAUCGAGCUGUGGCGCCACUACAUCUGGUUGUCUCACACUCCUUGCACAUCUUGAAAUAAUCUCCAGCCAUCCUGAGUAUCAUUAUUGGUAAAUCCGUGAAGUAGCUUGGAAGAUGCAGGAGCGGAGGAGUCACACGCGUACUCUCUCUUCAUCAAGGAAGUAUCCGUUCCGUGCAUGGUACUAAAAAUUAAGAUACGAUUGACUUGAUUACGGAAAUAAACUUACACAUUUUCAAUGAAGCUUCCGUUAGUGUAUUUCGAGACUAUCUUCAAGGAAACAAAUUUUUCUCAAUGUUGACAAUAUCCCCUGAUGAUCUUUUUAAUUUGGUUGACGCACCUGUCUUGGGCUGCUUUAAGGUCACGUUAACGAUGCUCAUAGAUCUUGUCUCCGCCGCCUCCUCUCACCUGCCAAUUUUAAUACACACCGGAAUUAUAUUUCUUUUCAACAUCCUUCACUCCUACCACCACACACAAUUACAUACAAACAAUCACUAACAAGCGCUCGCCUAUUACACUUUCCUACAUUCACGGUCUGCCACGACGCUCCAAAGAAAACAAACACCAUUCACCGUUUUUUGACUUUAGGAUAACAUAUUAUAAAAGCAGACUCACCACAGCUGCAAGUUUCAACAACGGCUUCUCAACAACUCGGCAGUCGGCAGUAAACUGAAGCCAGUGCGGUGCGCCUCUUCCUCACCAUUCACCAUGCGUGAAAUCAAACAGGAGGCCAGUUAUCUAUAUACUUUUGAUUUACAGUUUCUCAUUAUAGAACAAUCUCACAUCAAAAGUGAUUUUUCCAGAAUUAUGACUAAAUAAAAGGAAAUGUGUCGUGUUGCAAGGCAAGACCGGACGUUGUGAAUGUUUCCGUGCCUAAAUGUUAGAUAGACAUCCUUCAUGAGCACCCGAUACCUGCCGCCAAAACGCCUUCUAUUUAAAUAUUUUGCUGCGUAACAUUUAUUUAGCUGCCAUGAAUGAGUGUCUUUUAGUACCGAAUAUUGAAGGCCUCGGAAAAAUUUUAUUAUAUAUUUUUAUUUCUCAUAUGGAUAUGAGUGCCUCUUAAACGGUUGUGAAUAGUAUUUUGGUAAUCAACUUUAUACCGAAGAGCAGUAAACCACUUGGGCCAAACAGGUAACAUCGUCUCGCUUCCCUUGUGUGACAUCAUUUACACUCCUGUGAACAACAACUAUAAGAACAACAAUAACAACAAUGAUAGUCAUAAUGAAAGCAACAACAAUAAUAACAAUAAGAAAUCCAACUUUCAUUUUAAUGGUAAUAACUGGAAUUCGUGUCAGUAUGAACAUUUUAUUUACAUUAAUACAUGGUAACAAAAUAUAUUCAAAUGAAAAAAAAAAAAAAAAAAAAAAAAACGAUACCUCACAAAAUAUUGCAUACACUUUCCUGUGCACACGAAGCGCAGGAUUUCACGCGGACUCAAGUAUCUGUGACAUAACCAGCGACUUCCACCCUCCUCCCUGUCACGUUGGUGUUAGCGUAUUUCAGAUGUCUUUUUUUUAUUU